GGCAGAGGGUGCAAACGUUGUUCGGAUUUACUGGGCGUAAAGCGCGUGUAGGCGGCUUUGCAAGUCGGAUGUGAAAGCCCACGGCUCAACCGUGGAAGUGCAUCCGAAACUGCAUGGCUGGAGUCUCGGAGAGGAAGGUGGAAUGCUUGGUGUAGAGGUGAAAUUCGUAGAUAUCAAGCAGAACACCUGCGGCGAAGGCGGCCUUCUGGACGAUGACUGACGCUGAGACGCGAAAGCGUGGGGAGCAAACAGG
rnacentral:rRNA from 1 species